UAUACUAACGCAGUUAGCAGUAAGGGGAUUAAUGCAAUUCUGGGGCAACGUAGUAAGAAACAAGCUACUCAUUAUCAAAGACAGAAAAUUAAAAAUACAACGGCAGCAAAACUAUUGUCUUCCUAUUGAUAAGCCCUAAAGUAUUCUUUGUGCAAACUGGAGACAUGACAACUUGAACAAUUCUACAGCAUUAAAAAAGUGCUCUGCAGGACAAAGUAUCGAAGGGCAGACCUUUUUUUUUCCCAUCCAGGUUUGUCCUGGAUGGAACCUUGUUCAUUUGCCCUGGCCAAUGUCCAUCAUCGUCGUCGUCUCAUCAUCAUCUCCUCCAUCCAUCCAUCAUCCCCCCUUACCCUGCUGGCUUUUUCUGUCUUUAUCUUAUGGAAGUCCUGUAGCCAUUUAAUUUUGAUGGAAUGGUGAAUGCACUACUUUCAUAAAAAGGUCUUCAGUGGGUGGAACAGUGAAACCCCUGUAUGGGGUCAAGAACAGGAAUUCUAGCAGCAAACGGGCUUUCUAACUCUGGUGCAGAGAUGCUAUGCGUAGGCUGAAGUCUGUUCUGCUCUAAACUAAAGGUUUUAGAAGAUGUGAGAAAAGUGCCAGUGUGUUCCUCCCAUUGUUCUGGACUCUAUGAAACAUCAGAUGGUAUGCUGAUUACUUGGCGUACCACUUAUCUCAUCAAAUAGACAUUGUAGUUCUCAGCUUCAGGUUCUUCACAAGAGAAAAGACAGUAGGUACCUAUAGAUGCCAUCCUCUGCUUUUUAGUAAAAUUGUUGUAGUGUUGGUGAAGUUAAACUUUCCUGGUAGUAAUUACCAUCUAAUUUAAUUUAAUUUUUUUUUUUUGCCAACAGGCUGCCUAUUAAUCUGAAAGUGCUUUAAAAAAGUUGGUCUGGAGUUGUGUGGUUGUGUUUUUUCCUGGUUAUAUUGAUAAGUUCACAUACCAGAGACCACUGAGGAGCCUAGCCCAGUUUCUCAAUUGCUCCAGAGCACUGUCUG